ensembl:lncRNA
AUCGCACAUGUUGAGAGUGUGUUCUGCCAGCGAGGUCUGCUGUCUCAAUGAAAAAGUGCGUCAUCAUUUUGGAGACUACAAUAUUCGUUGUAAUAUAAGGCCCAAAGUGUAGAGUGACGACGAUUUUUUUAUUAUUAUAUGACGUGCUUUAUUUUCUGUUCUUAUUUGAAGUGCAUCUUUGUUUUGUUGUUUUCCGUGAUCCUGUGAGUCAUCACUCAGUAAGCCGUGUGUGAUGAUGGCUUAGCGGCUAUAGAGACAAUUGACUUUAUGAACAAAACAGCUGUGUUUAUGAAGCUAUUAGACGUUUGUGGUGGACUUCGGAAUUGCGUGAGAAACCGGACAGAUCGUGUGUGUCAUCGUUGGACGUAGAUCGACUGGAUUCAUCUCAUGUUCAAGACUGAUCGCGAGGGGAUGCUGAGUGUUCAUGUUGUGAGGAACCUAAUAUCGUUUCGCUGUCAUCGGAUGAACAUUUCAAAAUUAGAGAUGGAGGAAUUCAUAAAAACAACGGUCUACAAAGAGGAGCGCUUUAAAAGAAACAAAAAAGAGACUGAUAUAACUGUGAUUUUAUUCAGCAAAGACUCACUACCAUAAACACCACCAAAGAUGCCAACUUCAGGACUGUGAAUUCUGCAAGUCUGCAAAAUCAAAAAAAUUUAUAUUUCUUGCUUUCAUGCAAACGGUCUGGAGCAUGCAGGCAACAAAGUCGACGUGCCAAAGGAUGCAAGGCCUAUGUUUCCUUUAAAAAGAGGACAGACUGGCUCAACAAACUGGUUAUAGUCGAAAGGCUUUACACCAUUCAUUCAGGACAUGACCCAUCAAGUUCUUCUGAGGGCCACUUAGAAAACAUUAGUCAAGAGCUAGUCAAGCAUAUUCAGGAUUUAAUAUCUCUUGGUGUUAAACCAGAUACAAUUCUCCUAAAAUCACGUGAGUGGUCAAAAGAACAAGGACAUACUGAUCUCAACAACCGAGCUUAUUUUGUUACCCCAAAAGACAUUGAAAAUAUUCGGACAUGUAUGAUUCGAAAAAAUCAGCAACACAAAGAUGAUGCCACUAGUACCUCACGCCUUCUGGAGGGCCUUUUAAAGACUUUUUUAUUUUUUAUCAGCCUAAUAGUCCUCAAACUGAAAAACACCAUCCAUGAAAGACAACCUUCAAGAAUACGGAAGAUAUAUUGUUUUUAUGGAUGCGACACAUGGUGUCAACCAGUAUGGUUUUCCUUUAUUUACAUUACUUGUCAGGGACAGUCAUGGUCAUGGAAUUCCUGUUGCCUAUAUCAUCUAGGGGAAUGAAAAGCAGGACACACUUCAGUUGGCACUGAAAGAGCUGAAACCAACAUUUUCUGUAUCUCCGAGCUGCUUUAUGGUUGAUAAAGACCAGGCUGAAAUCAAUUCCAUCUGUAAGGUAUUCAGCGAGUCAGACGUUCUCCUUUGUUGGUACCAUGUAACACAAGCAGUAACUCGUUGGCUGUCAAGAUCUGAAUCUGGUGUGAGUGGACCUGAAAAGGCAGAUUCAAGAGUGCACAUCAUGCAGUUUAUGUCAGAGCUGAAAUCCUGUUCAACGGAACAUGAAUUUAAGAAAAAAUCUGAGAUGUUUCACUGCCAGUUUAAGAACUUAAAAGAUAUCUGCAAGUACUUCAGGAACCACUGGGAGACAAUUAGUCAUCUGUGGUCUAACUUUGGAAGAUGCUAUAAGCAUGGAGACUCUGACACAAACAAUCUAUAGAACGAUUUUGGGAGAGAGUGCUACCAGCAAAGACGGGGCAGGUGCAACUGCCACUUCAGAUCCUGAAGGUGAUGGAGAUGUACUGUAGACAUCUCUACAAUGGACCCUGAGCCAGAAGUGGUCCAUCGUGGAUCACAGUGCAACAUAAGAUGUUUACAUCGUUCAUUAGCUGUUCAGGUAAAGCCUCAGAUGGUGGAUGUGGGGACUCAAACCGAAAGGUUUGAGCAUCGCAGAUCAACUCCACUGGCCAGUCCUGAACAAAGUGAUGAUGAAUGGUCAUUUUCUGAUAUCAUCAACCAUUCUGGUGAUAUGUCAUGGAGUCCAGGGGAGGAGAUGUUGAGCGGGUCCUAUGAGGAGGAACCAGAAGAGCUGGAAUCUCUCAGUGACCCAAAUGCUGUUGACAAGUUCAUUGUUUGCCAGAGGCAGUUGCUGUCCUUGUUCACGGUUUGCCCUACAUGCUGUGGGGAAACCCAGGGACACAUAAUGCACCCGGAAGGAACUUUCAUAAAAGUCAAGCAGGCCUGCGGAACUUGAGGUUAUGAGCGUUACUGGCAAAACCAAGAGAAGGUGCAUCGAAACAUCCACUUCUCAGGUUGCAUGGCUACUCAGACAAUCAGGAUGCUGAAGCUGUUUGGACUGCAGUGCAUAAGUCCCGGCAAUUGCUGACACAACACAUGAAGCUGUUCAGGUAAAACCUCAGAUGGUGGAUGUGGGGACUCAAACCGAAAGGUUUGAGCAUCGCAGAUCAACUCCACUGGCCAGUCCUGAACAAAGUGAUGAUGAAUGGUCAUUUUCUGAUAUCAUCAACCAUUCUGGUGAUAUGUCAUGGAGUCCAGGGGAGGAGAUGUUGAGCGGGUCCUCUGAGGAGGAACCAGAAGAGCUGGAAUCUCUCAGUGACCCAAAUGCUGUUGACAAGUUCAUUGUUUGCCAGAGGCAGUUGCUGUCCUUGUUCACGGUUUGCCCUACAUGCUGUGGGGAAACCCAGGGACACAUAAUGCACCCGGAAGGAACUUUCAUAAAAGUCAAGCAGGCCUGCGGAACUUGAGGUUAUGAGCGUUACUGGCAAAACCAAGAGAAGGUGCAUCGAAACAUCCACUUCUCAGGUUGCAUGGCUACUCAGACAAUCAGGAUGCUGAAGCUGUUUGGACUGCAGUGCAUAAGUCCCGGCAAUUUUUCCGCCAUCAGCGCUAUUACACUAUCCCUACCAUUGUGCGGGCCUGGAGGAAUGAGCAGAGGGGGAUCAUCAGGGAGUUGAAGGAGACUGGGGUGGAUUGAUCCUGUCUGGUGACUGCAGAUCAGAUUCUCCUGGACACUGUGCCAAAUAUGGUAGCUACUCCUUGAUCGAGGAUCGAAUUAACAAGGUUUUGGAUGUUCAACUUGUCCAAAGCUCAGAAGUCCCAAGCAGCUCUUGGUGUGAGCUAGAGGGUCUAAAGCGGAGUAUGCAGUUCCUGAUGGACCAAGACAUGCAAGUGUCUGCUCUGAUAUAAGGCAGAAAUCGGCAGGUAAUGAUGCUAGGAGAGAUCUAAAGCUGAACAGCAUUGACAGGCACAGUAUCACUCAAAAUAAAUUCUAAAUUCUAUAAAAUCAGUUUGUUUUAGGCAACACAGUCUCACCCCUAUUCGUCACAUACUGCCGUUUGGUCAUUUCCCCCUCAUGUCCAUAAGCCGACGUUGAGGGUACCCCCUAUUCGUCGCUUGACAACGUAGAGGGUCGUCUGAUAGAUUUGAGUGCAAAUCCCUCAUCUUUGAAUUUUGACGAAAUGGGGUUAUCCAUCCAGCGGUUUGCCUGCGCUGGAAAGUAUGGUUUCAGGUGAUUGAUUUUAUGCUGCAAAUGUGUAUUUUGUAGUAGCGUGCGGCGCAAAUACUGUUAAAAUCAUUCAUUGGUGUGGUGACUAUACAUUUUCGUGGGGCAGAAACCGGUAUCACGACUUUUUCUGUCUCUUUUUUUAUAUAAUUUUGGGCUAACGUUACAUUAAAAUGACAUAUUUACAGGACUGUAUAUUUGCUGUAUGCUUAAUACAUGCCUUAAUUUAGGUGGGAUAUUUUAUAAUUUUCGAUCACAUACUGCUGUUUGGUCAUUUCCCCCUCACGUCCAUAAGCCGACGUUGAGGGUACCCCCUAUUCGUCGCUUGACAACGUAGAGGGUCGUCUGAUAGAUUUGAGUGCAAAUCCCUCAUCUUUGAAUUUUGACGAAAUGGGGUUAUCCAUCCAGCGGUUUGCCUGCGCUGGAAAGUAUGGUUUCAGGGGAUUAAUUUUAAUGCUGCAAAUUGUGUAUUUUGCAGUAGCGUGCAGCGCAUAUACUGUUACAGUCAUUCAUUGGUGCGGUGACUAUACAUUUUUGUGGGGCAGAAACCCUUGUCUAAAUCGGUAUC